rnacentral:rRNA from 1 species
GAGCAGAGGUGCCGAGCGUUAGGUGGAAUCACUGGGCGUAAAGCGUGCGUAGGUGGUUUGUUAAGUCUGUUGUGAAAGCCCCGGGCUCAACCUGGGAAUGGCAAUGGAUACUGGCAGGCUAGAGUGCGGUAGAGGGUAGUGGAAUUCCCGGUGUCAGCGGUGAAAUGCGCAGAUAUCAGGAGGAACACCAAUGGCGAAGGCAGCACUCUGGGACGUGACUGACGCUGAGACGCGAAAGCGUGGGAGCAAACAGG